UGGGGAAUAUUGCACAAUGGGCGAAAGCCUGAUGCAGCAACGCCGCGUGAGGGACGACGGCCUUCGGGUUGUAAACCUCUUUUAGCAGGGAAGAAGCGAAAGUGACGGUACCUGCAGAAAAAGCGCCGGCUAACUACGUGCCAGCAGCCGCGGUAAUACGUAGGGCGCAAGCGUUAUCCGGAAUUAUUGGGCGUAAAGAGCUCGUAGGCGGUUUGUCGCGUCUGCUGUUAAACCCCGAGGCUCAACCUCGGGCCUGCAGUGGGUACGGGCAGACUAGAGUGCGGUAGAGGAGAUUGGAAUUCCUGGUGUAGCGGUGGAAUGCGCAGAUAUCAGGAGGAACACCGAUGGCGAAGGCAGAUCUCUGGGCCGUAACUGACGCUGAGGAGCGAAAGGGUGGGGAGCAAACA
rnacentral:rRNA from 1 species